ACGAUGAUCCGGUGCUUGCGCCGGGGAUUAGUGGCGAACGGGUGAGUAACACGUGAGUAACCUGCCCUUGACUCUGGGAUAAGCCUGGGAAACUGGGUCUAAUACCGGAUACGACUGCUCCGCGCAUGCGGUGGUGGUGGAAAGCUUUUGCGGUUUUGGAUGGACUCGCGGCCUAUCAGCUUGUUGGUGGGGUAAUGGCCUACCAAGGCGACGACGGGUAGCCGGCCUGAGAGGGUGACCGGCCACACUGGGACUGAGACACGGCCCAGACUCCUACGGGAGGCAGCAGUGGGAAUAUUGCACAAUGGGCGGAAGCCUGAUGCAGCGACGCCGCGUGAGGGAUGACGGCCUUCGGGUUGUAAACCUCUUUCCAGUAGGGAAGAAGCGAAAGUGACGGUACCUGCAGAAGAAGCGCCGGCUAACUACGUGCCAGCAGCCGCGGUAAUACGUAGGGCGCAAGCGUUAUCCGGAAUUAUUGGGCGUAAAGAGCUCGUAGGCGGUUUGUCGCGUCUGCUGUGAAAGACCGGGGCUCAACUCCGGUUCUGCAGUGGGUACGGGCAGACUAGAGUGCUGUAGGGGAGACUGGAAUUCCUGGUGUAGCGGUGAAAUGCGCAGAUAUCAGGAGGAACACCGAUGGCGAAGGCAGGUCUCUGGGCAUUAACUGACGCUGAGGAGCGAAAGCAUGGGGAGCGAACAGGAUUAGAUACCCUGGUAGUCCAUGCCGUAAACGUUGGGCACUAGGUGUGGGGGACAUUCCACGUUUUCCGCGCCGUAGCUAACGCAUUAAGUGCCCCGCCUGGGGAGUACGGCCGCAAGGCUAAAACUCAAAGGAAUUGACGGGGGCCCGCACAAGCGGCGGAGCAUGCGGAUUAAUUCGAUGCAACGCGAAGAACCUUACCAAGGCUUGACAUGAACCGGUAACGCCUGGAAACAGGUGCCCCGCUUGCGGUCGGUUUACAGGUGGUGCAUGGUUGUCGUCAGCUCGUGUCGUGAGAUGUUGGGUUAAGUCCCGCAACGAGCGCAACCCUCGUUCUAUGUUGCCAGCGCGUUCGGCCGGGGACUCAUAGGAGACUGCCGGGGUCAACUCGGAGGAAGGUGGGGACGACGUCAAAUCAUCAUGCCCCUUAUGUCUUGGGCUUCACGCAUGCUACAAUGGCCGGUACAAAGGGUUGCGAUACUGUGAGGUGGAGCUAAUCCCAAAAAGCCGGUCUCAGUUCGGAUUGGGGUCUGCAACUCGACCCCAUGAAGUCGGAGUCGCUAGUAAUCGCAGAUCAGCAACGCUGCGGUGAAUACGUUCCC
rnacentral:rRNA from 1 species